UACGUAGGGCGCAAGCGUUAUCCGGAAUUAUUGGGCGUAAAGAGCUCGUAGGCGGUUUGUCGCGUCUGCCGUGAAAGUCCGGGGCUCAACUCCGGAUCUGCGGUGGGUACGGGCAGACUAGAGUGCGGUAGGGGAGAUUGGAAUUCCUGGUGUAGCGGUGAAAUGCGCAGAUAUCAGGAGGAACACCGGUGGCGAAGGCGGUUCUCUGGGCCUUACCUGACGCUGAGGAGCGAAAGCGUGGGGAGCGAACAGG
rnacentral:rRNA from 1 species